GAUGGCUGGGGUGAGUACAACAUACGAAGACGACUGGGUGGGGGACAACACGGGGAAACUCGUGCUAAUACCGCAUACGCCCUUCGGGGGAAAGCGGGGGAUCUUCGGACCUCGCGCUAUUAGAUGAGCCUAAGCCGGAUUAGCUUGUUGGUGAGGUAAAAGCUCACCAAGGCGACGAUCUGUGGCUGGUCUGAAAGGACGAUCAGCCACACUGGGACUGAAACACGGCCCAGACUCCUACGGGAGGCAGCAGUGGGGAAUAUUGGACAAUGGGGGCAACCCUGAUCCACCAAUGCACCGUGUGUGAAGAAGGCCUGCGGGUUGUAAAGCACUUUCAAUAGAAAAGAAAUGGUUAGGGUUAAUAACCCUGAUUUUUGACGUUAUCUAUACAAGAAGCACCGGCUAACUCCGUGCCACCACCCGCGGUAAUACGGAGGGGUGCCAGCGUUUAUCGGAAUUACUGGGAGUAAAGCGCGCGUACGCGGCUUCGUCAGUCAGAUGUGAAAGCCCCGGGCUCAACCUUGGAAUUGCAUUUGAUACUGCGGAGCUAGAGUAUGGGAGAGGGGGAAUUGGACUUUCAGUGGUAGCGGGGGAAAUGCGUAAAUUCUUGGAAAGAACACCACUGGCUAAGGCGACAUCCCUGGGCCAAUACUGACCCUAAGGUGCGACAGCGUGGGGAGGAAACAGGAUUAAAUACCCUGGUAGUCUCCGCCGUA
rnacentral:rRNA from 1 species